rnacentral:rRNA from 1 species
CAGGCCUAACACAUGCAAGUCGAACGAGAUGCCUUCGGGUAUCUAGUGGCGAACGGGUGAGUAACACGUGAGGAACCUGCCCCGAAGACGGGGAUAACCGUGGGAAACUGCGGCUAAUACCCGAUACCCCCGAUGCGGCGCAUGCCGCGACGAGGAAAUGCUCCGGUGCUUCGGGAGGGCCUCGCGGCCUAUCAGCUAGUUGGUGAGGUAACGGCUCACCAAGGCAUAGACGGGUAGCUGGUCUGAGAGGACGAUCAGCCACACUGGGACUGAGACACGGCCCAGACUCCUGCGGGAGGCAGCAGUGGGGAAUCUUGCGCAAUGGGCGAAAGCCUGCCGCAGCAACGCCGCGUGGGGGAUGAAAGCUCUCGGGUUGUAAACCCCUUUCAUCAGGGACGAAAUUGACGGUACCUGAAGAAGAAGCCCCGGCCAACUACGUGCCAGCAGCCGCGGUGACACGUAGGGGGCGAGCGUUGUCCGGAAUUAUUGGGCGUAAAGAGCUCGUAGGCGGUUUAGUAAGUCAGAUGUGAAAGGUUAGGGCUCAACCCUAAGACUGCAUCCGAUACUGCUAUGACUAGAGUCCGGUAGAGGAGUGUGGAAUUCCUGGUGUAGCGGUGAAAUGCGCAGAUAUCAGGAGGAACACCGACGGCGAAGGCAGCACUCUGGGCCGGUACUGACGCUCAGGAGCGAAAGCGUGGGUAGCAAACAGGAUUAGAUACCCUGGUAGUC